rnacentral:lncRNA from 10 species
AAUAAUUCAGGAAAGUGCAGGUUCUGGGAAGUCUCGGUGGGUUCCCCGCAAAAUCAGAGAUGGCAUCUCACUAUGUUGCCCAGGCUGAUCUUGAACUCCUGACCUCAAGUGAUCCUCUCUCCUUGGCCUCCUAAAGUGCUGGGAUUCCAGGUGUGAGCCACUUCACCCAGCCACAUUUAUCCAUCUUGUAAAAUAUUGCUUUGUUUUUUGGUGCAUUUCAAAGAAUCACUGACCCUGGAGGAUGUGGCUGUGGAGUUCACUUGGGAGGAGUGGCAGCUCCUCGGCCCUGCUCAGAAGGACCUGUACCGAGACGUGAUGUUGGAGAACUAUAGCAACCUCGUGUCAGUGGGGUAUCAAGCCAGCAAACCAGAUGCACUCUUCAAGUUGGAACAAGGAGAGCCAUGGACAGUAGAAAAUGAAAUCCACAGCCAAAUCUGUCCAGAGUCUCUCUCUGUCUCCAGGCUGGAGUGCAGUGCUGUGAUCUCAGCUCACUGCAACCUCUGCCUCCCUGGUUCAAGCGAUUCUCCUGCUUCAGCCU